rnacentral:rRNA from 1 species
GACGAACCGAGCGAACGUUAUUCGGAAUCACUGGGCUUAAAGGGCGCGUAGGCGGGUGCUCAAGUCCGUGGUGAAAUCCUCCGGCUCAACCGGAGAACUGCCUCGGAUACUGGGCGUCUCGAGUGUGGUAGGGGUAUGCGGAACUAUCGGUGGAGCGGUGAAAUGCGUUGAUAUCGAUAGGAACUCCGGUGGCGAAGGCGGCAUACUGGACCACCACUGACGCUGAUGCGCGAAAGCCAGGGGAGCAAACGGG